rnacentral:rRNA from 1 species
UAACCAGACUCCUACGGGAGGCAGCAGUGGGGAAUAUUGCACAAUGGGGGAAACCCUGAUGCAGCGACGCCGCGUGGGUGACGAAGUAUUUCGGUAUGUAAAGCCCUAUCAGCAGGGAAGAAGAUGACAGUACCUGACUAAGAAGCCCCGACUAACUACGUGCCAGCAGCCGCGGUAAUACGUAGGGGGCAAGCGUUAUCCGGAUUUACUGGGUGUAAAGGGAGCGUAGACGGCGAUGCAAGUCUGAAGUGAAAGGCGGGGGCCCAACCCCCGGACUGCUUUGGAAACUGUAUGGCUGGAGUGCAGGAGAGGUAAGUGGAAUUCCUAGUGUAGCGGUGAAAUGCGUAGAUAUUAGGAGGAACACCAGUGGCGAAGGCGGCUUACUGGACUGUAACUGACGUUGAGGCUCGAAAGCGUGGGGAGCAAACAGGAUUAGAUACCCCUGUAGAA